rnacentral:rRNA from 1 species
GAUGAACGCUGGCGGCGUGCCUAAUACAUGCAAGUCGAACGCGCAGCGAAAGGUGCUUGCACCUUUCAAGCGAGUGGCGAACGGGUGAGUAACACGUGGAUAACCUACCUCAAGGCUGGGGAUAACAUUUGGAAACAGAUGCUAAUACCGAAUAAAACUUAGUAUCGCAUGAUACAAAGGUAAAAGGCGCUACGGCGUCACCUAGAGAUGGAUCCGCGGUGCAUUAGUUAGUUGGUGGGGUAAAGGCUUACCAAGACGAUGAUGCAGAGACGAGUUGAGAGACUGAUCGGCCACAUUGGGACUGAGACACGGCCCAAACUCCUACGGGAGGCUGCAGUAGGGAAUCUUCCACAAUGGGCGCAAGCCUGAUGGAGCAACGCCGCGUGUGUGAUGAAGGCUUUCGGGUCGUAAAGCACUGUUGUAUGGGAAGAAAUGCUAAAAUAGGGAAUGAUUUUAGUUUGACGGUACCAUACCAGAAAGGGACGGCUAAAUACGUGCCAGCAGCCGCCGUAA